CUGGGAUAGAGCAGUGCCACCAAGUCUAUCCUGCAGACUCUGGCAGAGCAAUGGAUGAAUGAAGUAUGCUGACACAGAUCACCCCAGGUAACUGUCUCUCCACAUCAAUCUAUUGAUUCUCACUGCAUGGAGUGAAGAAGAAACCACCAGAUCAGCUGUUAAAUGAGAAUGACCAUAAUACCCCAGAGAACUUCUGUGAGGAUUAAAUGGAUAUGCAAAAGCUCUCGACAUAAUACCUGGCUCAAGAUAAGUCGACAUUUUCACUGGACCGAUUGGACUGAAAAGGCAAGAUUGAAUGAGGCAGUUCUUGUUAGCAGCGUGAGAACAGACUAGUACGUGAUGGGACAGUCCCUGCUGUGCAUAUUCUCGGCUCCUUUGAAGUGAUCUAGUCAUGGACUUCAGUAUCCAGUGGAACGGAAGGACUGGAAUGGUCUUCAGCAGGUAACUAAUUCUUCAGCUCGAUCAAGUUGUGCAGUCUUGGCUUCAGAGACUGUUGCUGUUUUAUCUCUCUCCCAUGUCCGAGAAAACCAGUAUGCUGGCAUGGUGUUACAGCACUGUAAUUAAAUCACAUGACUUUCAUAGGGACAUGGGCAGAGAAAUUCUAGGCAGAAAAGGGCAGGUCCCUGACAGAACCCCACCUUCAAGCUGAAAAGCCUAAAACCCACAGCCCAAAGGGAGAACUUAUAUCCCUGUUUUCCUGCUCGAAUGUAGCCUUUUCCUAAACCACCCGUGGCGCACCCCACCCCGUAUCCUGUGCCUGUAAAUACCCCAGACUCAACCAGCAGAGAGGACAAGCAGCUGGACAUUGGGGACUACGGCUAGAUGUCGGAGAGAAGUGGCUUGACAUCAGAGGGACAGCUAGAUGGCGUAACUUCAGAUAAGAAUCCAGCUGGAGAUGGACUUUAGAAGAUUACCUACCCACCUCAUCCCCAUUUCUGCUCCCCUUCCCAUUGAGAGCCAUUUUCACUGGCAAUAAAAUCCUCUGCAUAUACCAUCCUUCAAAUUUAUUUGUGUGACCUCAUUUUUCCUGGAUGCCGGACAAGAGCUCAGGAGCCACAAAUGCAGAUACAAAAGGCUGUCACACUGGACCUUUGCCCUCGCUGACAGAGAGCAUCUGCCUCAUGCCAAAAGACAGAGGGCCCACAGAGCUGUUAACACUUAAGCUGUCCAUGGACAGAAGAUCUUAAAAAGCACUGUAACACACACUCUGGGACUUCAGGAGUCACAGUCACCCCCCGCCUGGAUAUUGCCUUGGGGCCUGCAUGAAGUUCACUCCUGCAGAUGCCCAAAAAAUGCUCACUCCAGCUCCUGUACCCCCUUACCUGUGAGCUCCCUCCCAUGAGGGUGGAACACAGUGGGUCUGAGUGAGUGGAGUUUGAUCCUGCUAGCAGCAAAACAGCCAGCUCAUUCCAGUGCUCAUGCAUUCUAGUUUCUGCCUCAUUCUCUCGUGUGCUCCCGCCUGUGAGGAGUUGACAGUGGCAGGCUGAGUAAACAAGGCACCCCUGUCACAAGUCCUAUGAACGGGUCAGGAAAAUAUCCUGCUUCAGUUUUUCUGAAAUUUUUGAGGAUGGAAUGCCAUUUGUUGCUGUAUUUUUUUCUCCCCCUAUGGAGUUAGUGUCUGUGUCAUUAGUUAAUAUAAAUUAAUUUAUCACAGAAAAAAUAUUUUGUUGACAAAGGUAUGGUCUGGACAAAUUAUUUAAACAAUUCAAGUCUCAGUUUCCUCCUAUGCCGUGUGGGAAAUAUUUUAUUUCCUUUUCAGUGUUGUUGUACAGAAGACAAUAUAUGUAAACCAACCAAAUUCAAUGCCCUGAAUCUAAAUAUGUAGUGUUAUUAUUUUAGUAAAUAAAUGUGUUGUUAAUAAGGCACUACUACAGUAAAUGAAUUGAAUAUCUAUUUUAAUAAAAAUUGUA
rnacentral:lncRNA from 10 species